rnacentral:rRNA from 1 species
AUUAUAGUCGAAUAUAAAUGCUAAGGUAGUAAUAGAUAUGUUCUUGAAACUUAAAAAAUUUGGCGGUAUUUUAGUCUAUUCAGAGGAACCUGUCCUAUAAUCGAUAAUCCUCGAUGGACCUAACUUAAAUUUGUAAUCAGUUUAUAUACCGUUGUUUAUAAAAAAUUUUAUAAGAAUGAUAAUUUUUAAGAUUUAUUAUAAUAAAAUAUAUCAAAUCAAGGUGUAGCUAAUAUUUAAGAAGAGAUGGGUUACAAUAAAUUUAUUUAUGGAUAUAAAUUUGAAAAUUUUAUUGAAAUAGGAUUUGAUAGUAAAAUUAUAUAGAUUA